rnacentral:rRNA from 1 species
GACGAACGCUGGCGGCGUGCUUAACACAUGCAAGUCGAACGGUGAAGCGCUUUCCUUUUUGGUUGGUGUGGAUGAGUGGCGAACGGGUGAGUAACACGUGAGUAACCUGCCCCCUUCUUCUGGAUAACCGCAUGAAAGUGUGGCUAAUACGGGAUAUUCUGCGCCUGCUGCAUGGUGGGUGUGGGAAAGAUUGUGCCUUUGGGUGUUUUCGGUGGGGGAUGGGCUCGCGGCCUAUCAGCUUGUUGGUGGGGUGAUGGCCUACCAAGGCGGUGACGGGUAGCCGGCCUGAGAGGGUGGACGGUCACACUGGGACUGAGACACGGCCCAGACUCCUACGGGAGGCAGCAGUGGGGAAUAUUGCACAAUGGGCGCAAGCCUGAUGCAGCGACGCCGCGUGAGGGAUGGAGGCCUUCGGGGUGUGAACCUCUUUCGCCAGUGAAGCAGGCCUGCUCCUUGUGGGUGGGUUGACGGUAGCUGGAGAAGAAGCGCCGGCUAACUACGUG